rnacentral:rRNA from 1 species
AUUACUGGGCGUAAAGCGCACGCAGGCGGUCUGUCAAGUCGGAUGUGAAAUCCCCGGGCUCAACCUGGGAACUGCAUUCGAAACUGGCAGGCUUGAGUCUUGUAGAGGGGGGUAGAAUUCCAGGUGUAGCGGUGAAAUGCGUAGAGAUCUGGAGGAAUACCGGUGGCGAAGGCGGCCCCCUGGACAAAGACUGACGCUCAGGUGCGAAAGCGUGGGGAGCAAACAGGAUUAGAUACCCUGGUAGUCCACGCCGUAAACGAUGUCUACUUGGAGGUUGUGCCCUUGAGGCGUGGCUUCCGGAGCUAACGCGUUAAGUAGACCGCCUGGGGAGUACGGCCGCAAGGUUAAAACUCAAAUGAAUUGACGGGGGCCCGCACAAGCGGUGGAGCAUGUGGUUUAAUUCGAUGCAACGCGAAGAACCUUACCUGGUCUUGACAUCCACAGAAGAAUCCAGAGAUGGAUUUGUGCCU